rnacentral:rRNA from 1 species
GGAGGGUGCAAGCGUUAAUCGGAAUUACUGGGCGUAAAGCGCGCGUAGGUGGUUUGAUAAGCGAGAUGUGAAAGCCCCGGGCUCAACCUGGGAACGGCAUUUCGAACUGUCAGGCUAGAGUAUGGUAGAGGAGUGUGGAAUUUCCUGUGUAGCGGUGAAAUGCGUAGAUAUAGGAAGGAACACCAGUGGCGAAGGCGGCACUCUGGACCAAUACUGACACUGAGGUGCGAAAGCGUGGGGGAGCAAACAGGAUUAGAUACCCUGGUAGUCCACGCUGUAAACGAUGUCAACUAGCCGUUGGGACUCUUGAAGUCUUAGUGGCGCAGCUAACGCACUAAGUUGACCCGCCUGGGGAGUACGGCCGCAGGUUA